CAAAGGUAGGAUCAACAUGACACCAUGUUGAAUGUACAAAGCAUGUUACUUAAACUCCACACACUGCAGUUUGCAUCCUUUGUUCUACCAAAAGAGAAUGUCGGUGUUUGUUCAACCCUAACCUUGACCCUUCCCUAACUUUUAAAGCUGCAUUCAUUUAUUUCUUUGACCACUUGGGGCAUUCGAACAAGCUGAAAACACAAUAUUAUCACGUUAUGUAGUUCUUACGGCUGUGAAAGAGUGCAACAAUGGAAUUUAUGCUUUAAUUAUUAGUGUGAUGAUAUUACACUCAUUAUAUAAUACCUACAGUAUUACUGACCUGUGAAAUGUAUGAUACUACGUGUAAUAUUAUUCACUUAUCAUGUAUUAUAUUUGAUAUUUUGGUUCAUAACAGUUUGUACUGUACAGUAUGUGUUUUUGUAUUUAACAUUAUGAAAUUAUAUAAAUGAAUGCGUACUUCCUUUGGGUAUAUGUAUGGCAACAUAUUUUUUAAAUAGAGAUUUAGUUCCCUGAUUAGCCUUUUUCUGACAGAAAUUAAAGUUCUCAUACGGAAGAGUAUCCAUAAUAUAUGAAAUGUUCAACAUGUAUUAUGCCGUAUGAUAUGACUUUCUGCUUUUUGUUGAGUCACGAGAGAGCAGAUCACACCACUGGUGUAAGCCAAUCGGCAGCCAAGAGAGAGCUCACGGGCGACUGGCAGCAAAACUCCAGCAAAGACCAGUGAGGAGUCGUCCAGCUGAUGCCGGUGCAGGGGCCCCGUUUCUCUGCCACCAACAGGCAACCGGGGAUGGAUGACCAGCGCAUUAUUUAUUUAAUUUUUUGUUCGGCGUGAGAGUAAGAAAACGGAGACAGACUUUCUUUGCAGUUUUGUUUCAUGCUGGGUAAUCGCAGAAAGAAAUAUUCACCCGCAUGCAUUAAUAUGCAAGGACUAAGUCCCCAGUUGGCUUAGAGUUAAUCUUAUAUUUCAACUCAUUCCUCAGCAUCUGUGCUAGGGAGGAGGGCAUCUUAUACUUUAGGUAAAUGCCCCCUCAGAAAGAU
rnacentral:lncRNA from 1 species